AUGCAUGUCUAAGUUCACACCCUUGUACGGUGAAACCGCGAAUGGCUCAUUAAAUCAGUCGAGGUUCCUUAGAUGAUCCCCAUCUACUUGGAUAACUGUGGUAAUUCUAGAGCUAAUACAUGGCUACCAGCUCCGACCCUCGUGGAAAGAGCGCUUUUAUUAGUUCAAAACCAGUCGGGCUCUCGGGUCCGUCCUUUGGUGACUCUGGAUAACUUUGUGCCGAUCGCAUGGCCUCGAGCCGGCGACGCAUCUUUCAAAUGUCUGCCCUAUCAAAUGACGAUGGUACGUGAUCUGCCUACCAUGUUAGCAACGGGUAGCGGGGAAUCAGGGUUCGAUUCCGGAGAGGGAGCAUGAGAAACGGCUACCAGU
rnacentral:rRNA from 1 species